rfam:Salmo salar isolate Sally breed double haploid chromosome ssa01, whole genome shotgun sequence.
GAAUGCAAUGACUGUAAGUUGCUCUGGAUAAGAGUGUCUGCUAAAUGACUAAAA